rnacentral:rRNA from 1 species
GCAUGCAGUCGAACGGAAUCGCUUUCUUCGGAAAGCAUAUAUUCAGUGGCAGACGGCUGAGUAACGCGUAAGUAACUUACCCUAGAGUGGGGAAUAACACAGAGAAAUCUGUGCUAAUACCGCAUACGAUUUAUUAAUAAUUUUUAUAAAUGAAAGAUUUAUCGCUCUUGGAUGGGCUUGCGUCCUAUCAGGUUGUUGGCGGGGUAAUGGCCCACCAAGCCUAAGACGGGUAGCUGGUGUGAGAGCACGACCAGCCAGAGGGGGACUGAGACACGGCCCCCACUCCUACGGGAGGCAGCAGCUAAGAAUAUUGCACAAUGGACGAAAGUCUGAUGCAGCGACACCGCGUGAAGGAUGAAGGCCCUCGGGUUGUAAACUUCUUUUAUUAGGGAAUAGCAAGGAAGGUACCUAAUGAAUAAGCAACGGCUAACUACGUGCCAGCAGCCGCGGUAAUACGUAGGUUGCGAACGUUGUCCGGAAUCACUGGGCGUAAAGGGUCCGUAGGCGGUUUAACAAGUCUCAUAUGAAAGCUUCAAGCUCAACUUGGAGAUGUUGUGAGAUACUGUUAGACUCGAGACUGUUAGAGGUAAGUGGAAUUCCAGGUGUAGUGGUGAAAUGCGUAGAUAUCUGGAGGAACACCAGUGGCGAAAGCGACUUACUGGGACAGUUCUGACGCUAAGGGACGAAAGCGUGGGGAGCGAACCGGAUUAGAUACCCGGGUAGUCCACGCUGUAAACGAUGAUUGCUAGGUUUUCGGGGCAUCGACCCCUCGUGAGCCGAAGUUAACGCGUUAAGCAAUCCGCCUGAGUAGUACGGCCGCAAGGCUAAAACUCAAAGGAAUUGACGGGGGACCGCACAAGCAGCGGAGCGUGUGGUUUAAUUCGAUGGUAAGCGAAGAACCUUACCA